ensembl:lncRNA
AAAUCUGUCCCAAAUAUAUCUUUCAGGGGUAUGGACACAGCAAGCAGCAUGCUUCUGAGGCUAUGCAGUAUGACCCAAGGCUGUCAGCUGAGUGGCUCUGUGCCCACCACACUGAGUUUCAGGUGGAAGGGCAGUGGCUUUUGGAUAACACCAAAGGGACGGGCAUCCUGUAUGAAUGGAGCAGGGAAACAGAGCUGUAAUCACCAGGGACAGGAAGAGGGACUUGGAUUUUGUGCUUGUAGGUGAGGUUGUGCAGAGGUUACAUCAAGAGACAAAAGAAAGAGAAGUAGGUGCACAAGUCCUUGGGGAGAGGGGCAAGGGAUGAUGAGCAUGUCCAGAAGGAAGACACAAAGAAGAGACAGAAGCCAAUGGACCACCAAGUAAGGAUGAUGGCUUCAUGUGUACCUGGUCAACAAGAACCCACUGCUUUCUUUGGGGCUGUACACUGCUUCUUGUGAUUUCACAGAUUCUUCACAACAGAAAAAGAGGGAGCAAGUUUGAAUAAUACAAAAUGAGAUGCUAAGUGAUGGGGAAAGGAAGACAUCAACCUGAAAAUGGUUUGAAAAUAGAUUGAAAUGUUUUUUUGCAAAGUGGCUAGGUUUUAAGUUGCCAGGCUCUCUUAAAAUGAACUCCUUUCCAAAGCUGUCAUUUAUAUGGCAUAAUAAUGGUUGGUCUUCGCUGGAUGCAAGAGUUCCAUUCAUUCACACCAGCACUGUGCAAGCUAUACACAUCAGCCAGAUGUUCAGGCAUUUGCCUAAUGUGAGACACCUGAGUUGAGCCUGACUGCCUAUAGGGAGCCCAAAUCAAGGCUGAUCCUUACAUAUCCGUCCCUUCCAAGUUGGGAUAUUCUAUGAUUUCUAUUCUUCCUGUGCCCAGGAAGACCCAAGCUACAAGACAAUCCUGGCUUUCUUGUCCUGCUUCAAUGAAAUCCCCAGAACCUUUCAGAAGACUAUGUAGGAAAAUACUGAUGACUUCAGCUCACGAGUUCACAGUCUUCACUGCUUUGGACAGCAGUCUACUGGAAGGUAGUCUCUGCUACUACUCCGUAUUGAACAUAAAGGCUGAUUGGGCAAGGCUGGACUUUUCCUGGUGAGGUUCCUCACAGCAGGAGCUCUCAUGGUUUGAGGUGUCCUGGAAGUGAAACUUGAGUGAAAUCCAAAACAUACAAAAGCUCUACAUAAACCUCCUGAAAAUCAGCUCUGAAGUCUUGGGCAGUUCUUCCAUUUGCAAAUGGACUGUCAGUACUCUUCCAGAAAUGCUUUCAAGUUCAUCAAAAUGUUACAGCCCUUCAUUGCUCUGAUUGCUACUCAUAUAUUUUGCUUUGUUCCGGAGUUAAAUUCUGUAUAUCUACUUCUGUCAGCUCUGCACAGCACCGAAAUGAUGGCUGAUUCAGAAGGUAAUGGAAAUUUUUUUUCCAGGUCAGUAAAUAUAAACUUAGGAUUCAGCAUGCAAACUAGUGAUGUUGAAGGAACAGAUUCAUGCUUUCA